CACGUAGGAGGCAAACGUUAUCCGGAUUUACUGGGCGUAAAGCGCGUGUAGGUGGUUCUGUAAGUAGGGCGUGAAAGCUCCCGGCUCAACUGGGAGAGGCCGUUCUAAACUGCAGAGCUAGAGGAUGGUAGAGGGAGGUGGAAUUCCAGGUGUAGCGGUGGAAUGCGCAGAUAUCUGGAGGAACACCAGUGGCGAAGGCGGCCUCCUGGACCACUCCUGACACUCAGACGCGAAAGCUAGGGUAGCAAACGGGAUUAGAUACCCGUGUA
rnacentral:rRNA from 1 species